UUACAAUCUAUCAAUUUCUCUCUAUCCAUUCGAGUAUCUGGCAGCGCUUAUAGUAGGCGCUCAGAAUCAGCUGUUUCCCAUAGAGCAUUCAGGGACAAACAUUUGCACAAAAACAAAGGAUGGUACCAGGGCUGCUAGAGAUAGUAUUAGUAGUUUGUUGGCCUUGCCAUUGGCGGAAAAGAGCGCUGUAGACAGAGUUCAAAACAAGCGCAAGAGGCAGCACAAGUGACAGGUGGGAACUGCUGCAGCCUAUUUAACUCUGGUUACAGUGGAGAGCCAGGGACUCUUGCACAGCAAAGGUGCUUUCACCCCAGACACCUAGGACAUUCCAGCUGUCUCUUCACCACGGCGAUGGACGAGCUGGACACGCUGCUGGCAGAGGCAGACGCCCUGCUUCGAGACGUGCCCGUCUCCCAGGGACCGCCGCCUCCUCCGCCAC